UACUUCUCUUUAAUAGAUGAUGUGACAAUGAAAAAAGAGUGAGAAAGAAAGAUAAAAUGAGUGAAAAUGAAAUAAAAAAGAAUAAGAAUGUAAAUAUUUCAAAACUCAACAUCAAUAUCGAACCAUGCAUGCACAAACAUAACUUUCCCUCUUGUUGUAGUACAAAAAACAUCUCAACAGAUCUCAAACAAAAUAACACACCCGCUACAUGUCUAGCUCAAUAUAGAAAGCAAGAAAAACCAACAACGGCAACAGCGGCAGCAACAACAGACAUGCCAAGGGUGGAGGCUCCGCCGGUUGCAUCAGCCGGAGCGGCCUCAGGAGUACUAGCAUCGUCAGCAGGGGCGGGCUCCGGAGCAAAGAGCUCAAUGGGGUCACUAGCCUGGGCUGGUGGUGAUGAGAUCUCAGCCUCUGCAGAUGGCGGAGAGGCCGCUGGAGAAGAGGUUGAAGGUACUGGUGCCGAAGUUAAGGACGUAGGGGAAGAUGCUGGGGCCUUUGAUGGCGAA
rnacentral:lncRNA from 1 species